GCCUGGGUGGCUCAGUCGGUUAAGAGUCUGACUCUUCGUUUCGGCUCAGGUCAUGAUCUCACGGUGUGUGGGUUCAAGCCCCGCCUUGGGCU
rfam:Felis catus isolate Cinnamon breed Abyssinian chromosome A1, whole genome shotgun sequence.